rnacentral:tRNA from 1 species
CAAGACGUAGCUAUAAACUCUAAAGCAUUCAGCUUACACCUGAAAGAUACCUUCAUAAACGAGGUCGCCUUGA